UGGAUUCAGCAGUAAUGGGUCAUCGUCAAAAUCAGCAGCCAAUGCAUGAGACUGGCAGUGGCAGCGGCAGCUCUGCCACAGCGCAGUUUGACCAGAAUAUCCUCAGCCUCCAUAGCCAAUUACCAUCUCUCGAUUCUUUCCACCAUGACCAGGUAAAAAAAACAUUUCUUACAUUUAUUAACAAUCAGUAAAUUUCCCAAAAUUUUACCUAAUGAAAAUGUAUUGUUUUUACAGUUUCAGACAUUCUGUGACGAGGACCUCCAGAGCAUUGUUCAGAUGGCGACUAACAUGCCGGAGG
rnacentral:lncRNA from 1 species